GUUAGGGUGGCAGAGCCCGGAAAUUGUAUAAGAUUUAAAACCUUACCCCCAGAGGUUCAAAUCCUCUCCCUAACA
rnacentral:tRNA from 1 species